rfam:Dipodomys ordii cont1.173917, whole genome shotgun sequence.
GGAGCCGCCGCCGUCCGCGCCGCGCCUCAGCCGCCAGCGCAGGGUCGCCGUCGGGGGAGCCGCCAGCACACGGGCCUCGGCUCAGCAUGAUGGACCUGGAGCUGCCGCCGCCGGGACUGCCGUCCCAGCAG